rnacentral:rRNA from 1 species
UACGAAGGGGGCUAGCGUUGUUCGGAAUCACUGGGCGUAAAGGGCGCGUAGGCGGCCAUUCAAGUCAGAGGUGAAAGCCCAAGGCUCAACCUUGGAACUGCCUUUGAUACUGUUUGGCUUGAGACCGGUAGAGGUAAGUGGAACUGCGAGUGUAGAGGUGAAAUUCGUAGAUAUUCGCAAGAACACCAGUGGCGAAGGCGGACUCGCUGGCCCGAGUACU